CGACGGUGAGUAACGCGUGGAGAACCUGCCGUAUACUGGGGGAUAACACUUAGAAAUAGGUGCUAAUACCGCAUAAGCGCACAGCUCCGCAUGAAGCAGUGUGAAAAACUCCGGUGGUAUACGAUGGAUCCGCGUCUGAUUAGCUUGUUGGCGGGGUAAAGGCCCACCAAGGCGACGAUCAGUAGCCGGCCUGAGAGGGUGAACGGCCACAUUGGGACUGAGACACGGCCCAAACUCCUACGGAAGGCAGCAG
rnacentral:rRNA from 1 species